rnacentral:tRNA from 15 species
GGCAGUGUGGUGAAACGGCUAUCACGUUCCCCUCAUAAGGGAAAAUCGAAGGUUCGAUUCCUUCCAUUGCUAC